UUUUAUUUAAAAAGUGAAAUAAAAAGCACUUCGCAAAAAAGAAUUUCGUGCUGAACAAUGGAAAUUCUGUCACUGAAAUGUUGUGAAAAAAAAAAACACUUCACACUAUUCAAUGAAUAUAUAUAUAUGCUCUUUGCACUAUUCUAUUGCAGUAAAAUUGCACACACUUUACCAAUUCGCUACAGCCAUUUUUUGUCGUCAUGGCGUGAACCUGCUUGUCAACAACUCGGUUGUGCUUUCAGUUUUGUUUUGAUUCUCAGAUUGGUUUUGACAAGUCAUUUUCUUCAAGCUCUGUUAUAGUUUUGAAUGAUACAAAUUUAUAUCCCACAUAUUCAUGUUGCCAGGAUUCUUCGAAUACUUUUGCUGAGAUUUGAUUGAACGCUACGUUCCAAAAAUUCAAUAUUUCUCCCUGUUUUGUAUAUCCCAAAAUCAUCAGCAAACUGUCCACAAUCUGUAUCUCGUAAAGUUGAUGGAAGAUCAUCUACAAAAAUGAGAUAGAAAUAUGGAGACAGAAUUGAACCUUGACUAAGUCCUCGAAUGGGAUGCCUUGCUGCAAAUUUUAUUCCACCAUGGUAUUGCAUUUUUCGAUAAAGCAAUCACAUUUUGUGGAGUACAUGAUGUGACGCUGAGAAUUAUGCCCUGACACAGGUUUGUAUUAAAAAGUUCAACGUCAUCGUUUAUUGUUGAACCAUUUAUGUGAUUAAAGCUUUCAACUUUAUAUUUUUCCCAGUCUGUUCUUUUAGUCGAGAUGUAUGGUUGCCUUGUUGCCUUUGAAGUGUUUUUAUAUGAGUUCAAUGACAACCAGAUUAAAUUAUGGUCACUUGCUAAAUUUUCAUGUAAUAUCUCCAUCAUGCAUAAGUGGGCAAUGUCUUUCGUUGUUAUGCAUAAAUCAAUGACAGAGCUUUCAUUCCCAUUUCCCACUCUUGUAGGCAUUUCAUCAUUUAAAAUAACUAAUUCAUGGCUUUCAAUGAAUGACUGUAGAACCUGUCCUCUUGAAUUUGUCUGUGAACAAUUCCAAAUAGUGUUUUGGGCAUUGAAAUCUCCACAUAUGAUUACUUUUUGUCAGUGUAUA